UCUGGUGUCAGCCGCCGCGGUAAAACCAGCACCUCAAGUGGUCAGGAUGAUUAUUGGGCCUAAAGCAUCCGUAGCCUGCUUUGCUAGUUUUCGGUUAAAUCCAUACGCUCAACGUAUGGGCUGCCGGGAAUACUGCAAAGCUAGGGAGUGGGAGAGGUAGACGGUACUCGGUAGGAAGGGGUAAAAUCCUUUGAUCUAUUGAUGACCACCUGUGGCGAAGGCGGUCUACCAGAACACGUCCGACGGUGAGGGAUGAAAGCUGGGGGAGCAAACCGGAUUAGAUACCCGGGUAGUCCCAGCUGUAAACUAUGCAAACUCGGUGAUGCAUUGGCUUGAUGCCAAUGCAGUGCCGCAGGGAAGCCGUUAAGUUUGCCGCCUGGGAAGUACGUACGCAAGUAUGAAACUUAAAG
rnacentral:rRNA from 2 species